ACGAACGCUGCGCGUGCCUAACACAUGCAAGUCGAACGGAGAACUUCAAAGAGCUUGCUCAGAGAAGUUUUUAGUGCGACGGGUGAGUAACGCGUGGUAACCUACCCAUAAAUCCGGACAACCCUUGGAAACGAGGGCUAAUACCGGAUAAUCUCACAGUGGCAUCACUGGUGAAGUAAAGGUGGCCUCUGUAUAUGCUACCGAUUAUGGAUGGACCCGCGUCUGAUUAGCUAGUUGGUGGGUAAAGCCUACCAAGCGACGAUCAGUAGCCGGCCUGAGAGGGUGAACGGCCACACUGGGACUGAGACACGGCCCAGACU
rnacentral:rRNA from 1 species